GACGAACGCUGGCGGCGUGCUUAACACAUGCAAGUCGAACGGUGACCCAGGGCUUGCCCUGGUGAUCAGUGGCGAACGGGUGAGUAACACGUGGGCAACCUGCCCCUGACUUCGGGAUAACUCCUCGAAAGAGGAGCUAAUACCGGAUACGACCACUUCGGACAUCCGAUGGUGGUGGAAAGUUUUUCGGUCAGGGAUGGGCCCGCGGCCUAUCAGCUAGUUGGUGGGGUAAUGGCCUACCAAGGCGACGACGGGUAGCCGGCCUGAGAGGGCGACCGGCCACACUGGGACUGAGACACGGCCCAGACUCCUACGGGAGGCAGCAGUGGGGAAUAUUGCGCAAUGGGCGAAAGCCUGACGCAGCGACGCCGCGUGAGGGAUGAAGGCCUUCGGGUUGUAAACCUCUUUCAGCAGGACGAAGCGAAAGUGACGGUACCGUGCAGAAGAAGCACCGGCUAACUACGUGCCAGCAGCCGCGGUAAU
rnacentral:rRNA from 1 species